rfam:Sporolactobacillus inulinus CASD NODE_319, whole genome shotgun sequence.
AUUAAAGGAACUUCCGCUAAGUGCGCAUACGUCCUGUAUGCAACGCGAAAGUCAUCACAUCCUGUGAA